rnacentral:rRNA from 1 species
UACGUAGGGUGCGAGCGUUAAUCGGAAUUACUGGGCGUAAAGCGUGCGCAGGCGGUGAUGUAAGACAGUUGUGAAAUCCCCGGCUCAACCUGGGAACUGCAUCUGUGACUGCAUCGCUGGAGUGCGGCAGAGGGGAUGGAAUUCCGCGUGUAGCAGUCGAAAUGCGUAGAUAUGCGGAGGAACACCGAUGCGAAGGCAAUCCCCUGGGCCUGCACUGACGCUCAUGCACGAAAGCGUGGGGAGCAAACAGG